rnacentral:rRNA from 1 species
GAUGAACGCUGGCGGCGUGCUUAACACAUGCAAGUCGAACGGAAAGGCUCCUGCUUGCAGGGGUACUCGAGUGGCGAACGGGUGAGUAACACGUGGGUGAUCUGCCCUGCACUUCGGGAUAAGCCUGGGAAACUGGGUCUAAUACCGGAUCGGACCACAUUUUGGAUGGUGUGGUGGAAAGUUUUUCGGUGUGGGUUGAGCUCGCGGCCUAUCAGCUUGUUGGUGGGGUAAUGGCCUACCAAGGGGUUGACGGGUAGCCGGCCUGAGAGGGUGUACGGCCACAUUGGGACUGAGAAAGGGCCGAGACUCCGACGGGAGGCAGCAGUGGGGAAUAUGGCACAAUGGGCGCAAGCCUGAUGCAGCGAAGCCGCGUGGGGGAUGACGGCCUUCGGGUUGUAAACGCCGUUCGCUAGUGAUGAAGCGCAAGUGACGGUACCUGGAGAAGAAGCACCGGCUAACUACGUG